rnacentral:rRNA from 1 species
UGCGCAGGCGGAUUAAUAAGUCGGGGUUAAAUCCAUGUGCUUAACACAUGCACGGCUUCCGAUACUGUUGAUCUAGAGUCUCGAAGUGGAAGGUGGAAUUUCCGGUGUAACGGUGGAAUGUGUAGAUAUCGGAAAGAACACCAGUGGCGAAGGCAGCCUUCUGGUCGAGUACUGACGCUCAUGCACGAAAGCGUGGGGAGCAAACA